AAAGAUUACGGUUGUGAGAUCUUUUAUCAUCCAGGCAAAGAAAAUGUGGUUGCAGAUGCUUUAAGCAGGAAAGGUCGGGAAAAGUUGAUGCUGGUAACCACUCAGGAGGAACUUAUUUCAGCAAUGACAAAGCUAGAGUUGGAAAUAAAAUUUCCAAAAGAAUCCGAUUAACAACUAUUUCAGAUGGAAGCUAGUCCAACUUUGGUGGACAAAGUUAAGAAUGCUCAACUAUAAGAUGAAGAAUGUGG
rnacentral:lncRNA from 1 species